rnacentral:rRNA from 1 species
AUGAAGGCCCUCUGGGUUGUAAACUUCUUUUAUUGGGGAAGAAAUCGGUGUUUUCUAAUGCCGUUGACGGUACCCGAUGAAUAAGCACCGGCUAACUCCGUGC